CAGCCGCCGCGGGAAUACGUAGGUCCCGAGCGUUGUCCGGAUUUAUUGGGCGUAAAGCGAGCGCAGGCGGUUAGAUAAGUCUGAAGUUAAAGGCUGUGGCUUAACCAUAGUACGCUUUGGAAACUGUUUAACUUGAGUGCAAGAGGGGAGAGUGGAAUUCCAUGUGUAGCGGUGAAAUGCGUAGAUAUAUGGAGGAACACCGGUGGCGAAAGCGGCUCUCUGGCUUGUAACUGACGCUGAGGCUCGAAAGCGUGGGGAGCAAACAGGAUUAGAUACCCGAGUAGUCCCUGUCUCUUAUACA
rnacentral:rRNA from 1 species